rnacentral:lncRNA from 1 species
AGACUUAAACAUCAUCGUUCUUAUACUCUUUUGACGCUUACCAUUAUUGAUAGUCUUCAGUCACACAUGUGGUGCAUGUUUUUUCAGUGUUCUGCAUGGUGGCUACAUCAUCCUUAGAUAUCUAUGGACCACUCUAAUACUUCAAUUUCAAGAAAUCUGUUGAAAAUUCGUCCUAUUCUUUUCAAAUAGAUGUAGUUGAGUAAUGGCCCUAAAAUUGUGUAUAUCUGAAACAGGUUCUAAACUUGACUCCUCUGUCCAAUCAUUAUCUCAACUUCUCCGGUAAAUUCCUUAGGUGGAUAGGCUCGUAGAUAUGAACGACGUUUCUUUGACAUCAACUUGGUAGGCUGAAAUCUGUUUUCAUCAAUAAUAUGCAAAAUUCGUGUCCUAAUCAAUAAGAUGUAGUUGAGUAAUGACCCUAAAAUUGUN